UACGGAGGGGGCCAGCGUUGUUCGGAAUCAUUGGGCGUAAAGGGCGCGUAGGCGGCUUGGUAAGUCCGUUGUGAAAUCCCUCGGCUCAACCGAGGAACUGCGACGGAUACUGCUUGGCUUGAGUCCCGGAGAGGGUAGCGGAAUUCCCAGUGUAGCGGUGAAAUGACGUAGAUAUUGGGAGGAACAUCGGUGGCGAGGGCGGCUACCUGGACGGGUACUGACGCUGAUGCGCGAAAGCUAGGGGAGCAAACAGG
rnacentral:rRNA from 1 species